GACGAACGCUGGCGGCGUGCCUAAUACAUGCAAGUUGAGCGAUGAAGAUUGGUGCUUGCACCAAUUUGAAGAGCAGCGAACGGGUGAGUAACGCGUGGGGAAUCUGCCUUUGAGCGGGGGACAACAUUUGGAAACGAAUGCUAAUACCGCAUAACAACUUUAAACAUAAGUUUUAAGUUUGAAAGAUGCAAUUGCAUCACUCAAAGAUGAUCCCGCGUUGUAUUAGCUAGUUGGUGAGGUAGAGGCUCACCAAGGCGAUGAUACAUAGCCGACCUGAGAGGGUGAUCGGCCACAUUGGGACUGAGACACGGCCCAAACUCCUACGGGAGGCAGCAGUAGGGAAUCUUCGGCAAUGGACGAAAGUCUGACCGAGCAACGCCGCGUGAGUGAAGAAGGUUUUCGGAUCGUAAAACUCUGUUGGUAGAGAAGAACGUUGGUGAGAGUGGAAAGCUCAUCAAGUGACGGUAACUACCCAGAAAGGGACGGCUAACUACGUG
rnacentral:rRNA from 1 species